UUCAUUUCGAUACAGUCAAAACAUAGACAGCAACAUGAGAACUGCAAGAAUCGUGCUUAACGUUGCGCUCACUUUGGCGAUCGCUACCAUUUCUCUUAUGUGCGCCACUGCUACAGCCGAACCUACUCCAGAUGCGGACCCUAUAGAUCCAGCAGUCAUUGCAUCUCUCGCUGGAAAAUGAAUGGUGUGCGAGAUGAAUCCUAUACGAAUGCGAAGUAAAUUUAGGGUUAUGUAGUUUCAAGUUUACAAUUCAACUGUGAAAUAUAUGAAAUAAAGAUUUAGGAUUCAAAAGA